CCCCACCCCUCUUAAACUUGAACAUCUUUUUUUUUUUUUUGCAGUCCCCAGACCUUGCUGUCUUAAUUAGUUUCACUGUUACAGAUGUGUGCUAGUCAUUACUGCCUUUCUGUGACUGAAGUUGGAGUUCACGUUGACAAGCCUUGUGGUGAUGUCCCUGAGAGGAUGAAUAGACUGUUUAAUGCACUCUUGUCCUGGAAUCAGCCAAACAUCAAAGGCAUCGUGUGGUUCAUUAUUAAAAAAAAAUACACUUGCACAGAAAGCCUUAGAAAUUAAUGUUAGACUUUUAGUUUGCAUAUGAGGUCGUGCUGCUCCACAGAUUACAAGGAAGUGUUUUGGGUGUUUUAAAAUGUAUGCUUCCCAGUUUGAGCAUGGACUUCAGAAAACUCUUCUCAAGCUUGGCUUCCACAACAGCGAUUCCAGUUUAUGUGACACUAAGGUUACCAAGUUUGUUAGUUCUUUGUCUGAGACUUCAAAGUCACUUCCUAAAUUUCUGUUUAAGAUCUGUAACAGAAGUGGCACAAAGAAGGUGAAAAAAAGUUAAUUCUGAGAGAGAAGAGGAUCUUGGUGACAUGCAGUUGCCAGCAACACAACUGUCAGGUCGAAGCUUACAGAAGAAAUAGCAACAGGAAUUUUUACUUCUGUACCGUUAUGGCCUAAUUAUAAAAUAAACCCUAUGAAGUAUUCUUGGUUUUGCUGAAC
rnacentral:lncRNA from 1 species